rnacentral:lncRNA from 1 species
CUGGAACGCAAAUGAAUUAGUGAGAAUUAAGAAGUCUCUGUGGUCUGAAACCUCUCCAAAUCUCCUCCAAGAUGAAAGUUACACAGCCAUGGCUUAUACACCGUCGCUCUACCUUCCUGAGCCCCGGCGGUACUUCUAUAUCUAUAGUCCAAUCCAGGGACACCUCCACCCACACACACGCACAAACCGCUGCCCCUUUUCAUGAAAUGGAAACAGUGCAGGCAGCUAAUGUUGCCUAGCGUCUCCUGACCGCGAGGUUUUGUCGUGAGGGAGACGGCGAGCGAGGCUGCGGGACGACAGGCUGCCAUCACUGGCGAUUAAUUACAGCGCGGCAGCACUGGCACUUCGACAUGGCUGAUCCCUCUGCAGGCAGGGCUUCCUCUCAUCUCAGACACUCUGUAGCCUUCAAAGGCCCUCCACUGCCUGCAAGACUCAACCUUUUGCCAGCCGUGAUGACGGGCCUUUGUAACAGACUGCAGAGGCUGCCUCGCUCCCUUAGCUCAUUCAGCAUCAUGCUCUGCUCUUGUGCUGGACAUCAAAUGACCAGCUCACCCCCUGAGGAGCUCUCAAGUUUCUUCAUUUCAGCAGCCGCCUGGCUCUCCCCUGGUCAGCAGCCGGCCACGCAGGGAGAGGGGACAUCUGCCUGUCUGAGGAUAAGGGAUAGGCUGCCUCACUUUCCGUCUGUCAGCCUCUCAGACUGCACGCCGCACGCCGUUCCCCCCACCCCCUUGUUAUUCUAGAGAGAACACGGCGAUCUGAUAUGUGGCAUUGUUUGUGCCAGGCUGGUCAAACUGACAGAGGGGACGGAGGCUAAAGCACUAUAUGCAUGAUCUGCAGCAGAAAACGCCGCUCAAGCUGCUUACAGCACAAAACCUUGACAGCAUCAUGGCACGAAAACCCUUGUGAAUUUCUGCCAUAAACUAGUAAUAUUGCUAUUAAGAAUUGAACUCUAUUACUGUGAUCAUUACUGCAUCGAGUGGCUGCAUUCAACGUCCUCCUCUCUCCACUGAUGUAAACAUAAUCCAUCAAUGAUUAUUCUGUAAUGAUUAUCUCUAUCUAAUUAUGUGUGGUUUUCUCCAUCUCUUUCCAUCAAAGAAAGGCACAAAUCAAUGGGGACAUAUUUGCAUAAACAUCCAUUCUACUGAAGCCAGAGGAUUAAGACGGAGCUCCCUGGAUAACGGUGCCUUUGGCCUUCCUGCCCGUUCAGCCUGCAAAGACAUUCGUUGGCUUCGUAAACUUACUAUUUGUUUUCUGCCUGAUCAUUUAUAAAAUGGGCCAGGUUCCAAUUACUCAUCAUUGUAUUGAAACAUUGAUUAGAAGCACAAUUGUUCCCAUAAGUUUUAGAUCUUUAUGCGACAAAUCUGUUCUUUCCCAAUUAUUUGUUCUGUUGCUGGAGAAAGAUUGUACGAUUGUGUAGAAUGUGGCGCACGGCUGCGAAUGGAGAGCUGGUGUGCUGUAAACGAUCCGUGGUCGAGUGUUGGCCAGCAGCCACAUCUAUAUGAGCAGAGGAGGACCUCUCCGAAGAGUCCACACCUCCUCGCCUGAGCUGGAGGUGAAGGAGAGAGUAUCACUCUCUCCUUGUCAGCUGCAAGGGUAAUUACUGCUGGCUGAAAUUACUCAACAUUUGUUUAUUAGCUCCCCAGAGCACACUGUAAAUAGAUUGUCUGUUAUAGUCCGAUCACAUUAAAACCUUGUGGCGCGCUAACACCCCCCUCCCUGCCUCCUGCUUGCUAUGAGCCAACCUGCUGCUCACUUAUUGAGCAGCUCGAACCAAGGAGCCAUGUUAAAUGUGAUUGUUUUCCAUUAGCUACAUCCUGCCUAAUGCCUCACUUGUGCGUUGCAAUUACGGAAUUCUGCCAUGCAACAUAACCUUCAUUAGUUUACUGUAGAGUCCUGCAGCUCCAGAAGCCCCCAGCCCCCACCCCGACCAACCAUCCACCGCCAUUUUUCUUUUAGCCUUUUUAUUCAUGAGUGAGGAGCGUUUUAAUUUGAUAUUGAUUUCUAUAUGGACACUCGUCUGCUUUUUGUACUGCAUGGUUACAAUCUAUGAGGCGCGCUGAUGGAAACAAGGGAAAAUAAAACAAGAUCAGCAGGCUGUGGCUUUGCUUGUGUUCACCGUGCCGUUUGGUUCCUGUCAAAGAUGACAUUCUGAAACAAUUGACCUGCUAAAAAUGAAUUCUUGGCCAGAGCCCAGUGACAGUGGAGAGCAAUCCAUUCCCUGAAAAUAUGAAACGAUAAAGAAGCAGAGGCAUGCACCAUCCCUGUCAAAAGGAAAAAAGGAGAGGGAGGAAGGGAGCAAGGGGAGAAGAUGUGGGGAAAAGAGGACUAUUCAGUAUUUUAAUGUGAAUGGAAUUUACACCGUAUUCCUGCAUUUCCAGCUGCGAGGAAGGAUUUCUCGCAGCUGGAAGUGUUGCACAAAAUAAAGCAUCUCAGACAACAUGGGGACACUUUGGUGAUAAUUGCCCAAAUGUUGUUGCACAGACAGGGCUAUUUGUAACCAAGAUAUUUAGCUGCAAAAUGAACUAAAACAGCAUGCAUUCUGUGUGUGUGACAGCGAGAGCAUGGCUCCCUGGGAACUGGAGUAAUAAAAUGUUAUCUUUCUGUGGCAUCUUCCCUUUUCCUCUAAUGUUAUACUAAUAAAAGCAACUGCUGAGGUGAUUUCACACAAAAGAGGUCCUGGAGCUGCUGGACAUCCAUCGCAACCCCCUGGAGCCGCAUUACACACACCUAAUGGCCACUCCAAGCUUCAUUAGGAUAUUAAUUCAGCGCGUAUUUGAAGUGAGUCCAUCUGUAAUGUGAAAGUCUGGCUGCUGGGAAGAUAACUUGUUGUUAUUGUUGUGCCACUCCCUCCAUUUUAUCCUGCGUCCUUCUCCAACUGUAUUGUUAUUCUCGUAGCGCUACUGUCGGGCUUUCAAGGGGAGAGAAAUCUGAUAAUACCGGCGCUCCUUUGAGAUGGAGGCCAGAGGAAUCGCUCUGAGCGUUGCCAAAAGCAGAGCUCCAUCUGACCAGGGGAGCAGAUGGUCAGGUCCAAACCGACUCCGGGAACAUGCAGCAACACUAAACACUCGAUGUCAUUCUGCACUUUUAAAUACACGUCAACGCCUCCCACCUGCAGGAGCCUCGCGCUGGUCGCCAGCAGUCAUGCAGCGUGCAUGUGGCAAUAAUAGAAUCUUUUAACCAGGACAAAAUCAUCAUUAGAAGGUAGAUUGAGGACAACAGAUUUACACUCAGAAUGCUGAUAUAUUAACAUUCAUGACUGUAACUAAGAUAUAUUAUUAUAGAGUAUAUGGUUAUAUUUACAUACUGUGAGGUUGUGCUCUCCCCAAAUCAAAUAAAAUUAAAGCCAA